rnacentral:rRNA from 1 species
CCUACGGGUGGCAGCAGUGGGGAAUUUUGGACAAUGGGGGCAACCCUGAUCCAGCCAUGCCGCGUGAGUGAAGAAGGCCUUCGGGUUGUAAAGCUCUUUUGUCAGGGAAGAAAUGGUCUGGGCUAAUACCCUGGGCAGAUGACGGUACCUGAAGAAUAAGCACCGGCUAACUACGUGCCAGCAGCCGCGGUAAUACGUAGGGUGCGAGCGUUAAUCGGAAUUACUGGGCGUAAAGCGUGCGCAGGCGGUUUUGUAAGUCAGAUGUGAAAUCCCCGGGCUCAACCUGGGAACUGCAUUUGAGACUGCAAGGCUAGAGUGUAGCAGAGGGGGGUAGAAUUCCACGUGUAGCAGUGAAAUGCGUAGAGAUGUGGAGGAAUACCGAUGGCGAAGGCAGCCCCCUGGGCUACUACUGACGCUCAUGCACGAAAGCGUGGGGAGCAAACAGGAUUAGAUACCCCUGUAGUC